GGAGAGAUGGCCGAGUGGUUUAAGGCGCACGCCUGGAACGCGUGUUGAGUGCAAGCUCUCGCAGGUUCGAAUCCUGUUCUCUCCGCCA
rnacentral:tRNA from 2 species